GACGAACGCUGGCGGCGUGCCUAACACAUGCAAGUCGAACGGGGUGAUGACUUCGGUUAUCACUUAGUGGCGAACGGGUGAGUAACGCGUGAGAAGCCUGCCUUUCAGUGGGGGACAACAGUUGGAAACGACUGCUAAUACCGCAUAAUGUUAUUUGGGGGCAUCCCUGAAUAACCAAAGAUUUAUUGCUGAAAGAUGGUCUCGCGUCUGAUUAGCUAGUUGGUGAGGUAACGGCUCACCAAGGCGACGAUCAGUAGCCGGUCUGAGAGGAUGAACGGCCACAUUGGGACUGGGAUACGGCCCAGACUCCUACGGGAGGCAGCAGUGGGGAAUAUUGGGCAAUGGGGGAAACCCUGACCCAGCAACGCCGCGUGAAGGAAGAAGGCCCUCGGGUUGUAAACUUCUUUUACCAGGGACGAAUAUUGACGGUACCUGGAGAAAAAGCAACGGCUAACUACGUGCCAGCCGCCGCAGUAAAAC
rnacentral:rRNA from 1 species